rnacentral:rRNA from 1 species
AAUAUAAAUAUGUUUGUGUGGUUAUCUUUUGGUCAAUAAAAUGUAUCUAAGAAAAAUAGUUUUAAAUGAAGUUGGCUUUAGUAUACAAGAAAAAGCUUUUCUGGACUUAAGUAUAAAAGUACCGUUAGGGAAAUUUGAAAUAAAUAUGAAAAUUUAAUUGGUUUAAAGGAGAGGUAAAAAUUCGUACCUUUUGUAUCAGGGAGAAUCAAAAUGUAACAUUUACAGUGGACUUCCCGAAAAAAGAAUAGCUAAUAGCUUAUAGUUGUCCUGGUGGGAAACAGGUUUAGAAUAGGUUUAUUAGUGGUGAAAUGCCAGUCGAGUCUUUUGAUAUCUGGUUGUUCUGGAAAUAAAUUUAAUUUAGACUAAACUGCUCAUAAAAAUAAGUUUGGCUUUAGAACCGGAGGGAAAAGCUUCUGGUUAAAUUAGUUAUGUAAGAAAAAUUAUUUGAAAAGAGAAUAUCCUAACUAAGCCUAGAAGUAGCUAUGUUGAUAAAGUGUCUUAACUAAGAUGGAUUCCUGUGAGAAAAUAUUUUUAUGAUCUUCAUAAGAGAUACAGAACUUUAAUUUAGAAUUUAACAACUCUAGUAGCAAUGAUUUUAUUAGUAUAAUAGUUUUCUGUGUGUUAAAUUAAAGUAAAUUUAGAAUAAUGAAUAUUGUUUGUUUUGUAAAGAAAAGUUAUAGUAAAGGAACUCGGCAAAAAAGAUUUCUGCCUGUUUAUCAAAAACAUGUCUUUAUGAAUUUUAUGUAAAGUCUAGCCUGCCCAGUGAUAUUGAAGUUUAACGGCCGCGGUAGCAUGACCGUGCUAAGGUAGCAU